rnacentral:rRNA from 1 species
UACGAAGGGUGCAAGCGUUACUCGGAAUUACUGGGCGUAAAGCGUGCGUAGGUGGUCUGUUAAGUCUGAUGUGAAAGCCCUGGGCUCAACCUGGGAAUUGCAUUGGAUACUGGCAGGCUAGAGUGCGGUAGAGGAUGGCGGAAUUCCCGGUGUAGCAGUGAAAUGCGUAGAGAUCGGGAGGAACAUCUGUGGCGAAGGCGGCGUCCUGGACCAAUACUGACACUGAAACGCGAAAGCCAGGGGAGCAAACGGG